GAGAAUACCAAGGCGCUUGAGAGAACUCGGGUGAAGGAACUAGGCAAAAUGGUACCGUAACUUCGGGAGAAGGUACGCUCCUGGCGGUGAAGUCCCUUGCGGACGGAGCUACCGGGAGUCGCAGAUACCAGGUGGCUGCAACUGUUUAUUAAAAACACAGCACUGUGCAAAAUCGAAAGAUGACGUAUACGGUGUGACGCCUGCCCGGUGCCGGAAGGUUAAUUGAUGGGGUUAUACUUCGGUAGAAGCUCUUGAUCGAAGCCCCGGUAAACGGCGGCCGUAACUAUAACGGUCCUAAGGUAGCGAAAUUCCUUGUCGGGUAAGUUCCGACCUGCACGAAUGGCGUAAUGAUGGCCACGCUGUCUCCACCCGAGACUCAGUGAAAUUGAAAUCGCAGUGAAGAUGCUGUGUACCCGCGGCUAGACGGAAAGACCCCGUGAACCUUUACUACAGCUUGGCACUGAACAUUGACCCUACAUGUGUAGGAUAGGUGGGAGGCUUCGAAGCGCAGUCGCUAGAUUGCGUGGAGCCGUCCUUGAAAUACCACCCUUGUAUGCUUGAUGUUCUAACGUGGCCCCUUAUCGGGGUGCGGACAGUGCCUGGUGGGUAGUUUGACUGGGGCGGUCUCCUCCCAAAGAGUAACGGAGGAGCACGAAGGUGGGCUAAUCACGGUCGGACAUCGUGAGGUUAGUGCAAUGGCAUAAGCCGCUUGACUGCGAGAAUGACAAUUCGAGCAGGUGCGAAAGCAGGUCAUAGUGAUCCGGUGGUUCUGAAUGGAAGGGCCAUCGCUCAACGGAUAAAAGGUACUCCGGGGAUAACAGGCUGAUACCGCCCAAGAGUUCAUAUCGACGGCGGUGUUUGGCACCUCGAUGUCGGCUCAUCACAUCCUGGGGCUGAAG
rnacentral:rRNA from 1 species